UAUCCCCCGGGGAAACUCCCCUAGGCUUCUCUCUCCAGCAAGAGGGGCCGGGACUUCUCACAGCACAGUAGCCCAGCUCCAGGAGAGAAAGGCAGAGACUGCCUGGCCUCUGAAGGCUGGGCCUACAGAGCUCAGUGUCCCCCCUUUGGCAGUCCACUGGUUAUGUAAGCCACCAGACUGGCCCAGACUCCACCAGGUGAAUUCAGCAUUUGGAGUAGGGGCAUGCAGAGCAAACAGGGAGGAGAACCUGCCAGGACGUUGCUGCUGACCUCCUCUCACAACAGGACACCGGAGUCACUAUCUCCUCUGAAGCCAGAACUACUUGGUUUUGUUCUGAGAAGUGUGCACUGGAACCCAUCACGUGGAGACAGCAGUGGAGUGUGAUGGUUAAGGGCAGGCCCAGCCCAAGGGGCCAGCAAGAGCAGGUGUCAACUCCAACACCUAAGGUUUUGAAGGGGCUGUGCCAGAUGCUUGCUUGGAGCCUGCCACGUGAAAGAAGGGGACAGAAGCCAGCUUCAAACCAGGAUCUUCAUUUCCACCUUCCCUGGCAAACAUCCUGGCGUGGUCUCCGUGCGCUCCUCAGACGAGGUAAAGCGGCACCCCCACUGAUUAAGGCCCAGUGAUUUAAUAGCACACAGAUACAGCUGGGGCCUGUUUGGCUGCAAGAGCAAUGCAGCAUUUCUGGAGGAAAAAACGCUCUAGGAUGCACUGCACUUGAGGAAAAGCCAGAUUCACACCCAGAAAGGAAGGUGACUCCCCACCUUGACCAUGUCUGCCAGACCACAACUGUUACAGACCAGAGACAGUGCAUAAAGGGGCCUUCCUGAGCGUCAGGCUGGGCAAGGACUGGUUUCUAGGCUCUGUCCCCUAUUUCUCUGUGUGCGGACCUCCAGAGCCAGGACGUGCCUUCUCACAGCUCGACACUCCCUUCUUGCUUCCAAUGGAUAGUCUUUCCUCCUUUAUCGAAUAUUAGUUGCCCAUAUCGACACUCCCUUCUUGAAACAAGGUGUCUCCCUCCAAGCAAGCCCCCUCGUCUAUGGGAGAAGCCCAGAGCCGGCACCAAGGAGCAUCUGCAAGAAAGGAGGGUCUUUCUCUAGUUGGUUUGUUCAGUGAUCCUGAGCUCCAUGAAGGAAGACAGAGUAUCUUGCUCACUUCUGCAGAUCCCAGAAUUCAACAGGGUAAUUUGUAAAUAGAGAUUGCUCCAAAGUGUUUGAGUGGGUUUGUGCUCAUCACUGUUCACCUCUCAAAAAUAAAAAGUAAAAAAAUAAUAAUAAAUAAAUUUAAAAAAAGAAGUAAACUUCUGUUUAUAUGGAUCCUGAGAAUUAGGUCAUUACCAGCACAUGGUCAAACAUACAACAGACUAGCAGCAAAGUCUACAUGAUGCAUGUCAGUGGCCUGGAAGAAAAUCCCAGAAACAACAAUAAAGCUCUCACAGUCCUCAGAAACCAAAUCAAGUGGAGAAGUAGAUGGUGAAUUGGGAAAUCAGAAAAUAUUCCCAAAUGAGUAAAAAACUGGCUAACUCUACAUAACUGCCAAGCUACAUUAAAAGCCCAGAACCAAGAGCUUUUAGCGCUUUCAUUGAUUUUUUUUUAAUGCUGCAUCACCAAAGGUCUUGGUGGCACAGAUGACUUUGAGGAAAAUUGGCACAAAUAUCUUGGGGUCAAAAACUAGAUACUGGAAAAGUUUUAG